rnacentral:rRNA from 1 species
GACGAACGCUGGCGGCGUGCUUAACACAUGCAAGUCGAACGGUAAGGCCCUUCGGGCUACACGAGUGGCGAACGGGUGAGUAACACGUGGGUGAUCUGCCCUGCACUUCGGGAUAAGCCUGGGAAACUGGGUCUAAUACCGGAUAGGACCACUGCCUGCAUGGGUGGUGGUGGAAAGCUUUUGCGGUGUGGGGUGGGCCCGCGGCCUAUCAGCUUGUUGGUGGGGUGAUGGCCUACCAAGGCGACGACGGGUAGCCGGCCGGAGAGGGUGACCGGCGACACUGGGACUGGGAUACGGCCCAGCCUCCUACGGGAGGCAGCAUUGGGGAAUAUUGCACAAUGGGCGCAAGCCUGAUGCAGCGGCGCCGCGUGAGGGAUGACGGCCUUCGGGUUGUAAACCUCUUUCAGCACCGACGAAGCGCAAGUGACGGUAGGUGCAGAAGAAGGACCGGCCAACUACGUGCCAGCCGCCGCUGUAA